UACGUAGGGCGCAAGCGUUGUCCGGAAUUAUUGGGCGUAAAGAGCUCGUAGGCGGUUUGUCGCGUCUGCUGUGAAAACCUAAGGCUCAACCUUGGGCUUGCAGUGGGUACGGGCAGACUAGAGUGCGGUAGGGGUGACUGGAAUUCCUGGUGUAGCGGUGGAAUGCGCAGAUAUCAGGAGGGAACACCGAUGGCGAAGGCAGGUCACUGGGCCGCAACUGACGCUGGAGGUGCGAAAAGCGUGGGGAGCAAACAGG
rnacentral:rRNA from 1 species